rnacentral:lncRNA from 1 species
GAUUAGCAUCUGUGCUAAUAAGGGCAAUGCCUUUAAGAAAACUUACAUUCUAAGAGGUUAGAGUUCUCAGAUUAUAGAUUGAUGUUGGUAAGAAGUUUUUAUUUUCAUAUUGUGCCCAAAUUAUAAGAAAAUGUUUCUUUUCAACAACAGUCUGAAACACUUAGUGUGACCAAUCUGAUGUGAUCCAAUUUUUAUGUAUGCAUGAAAAUCUCGUUUACUUAGAAAAGUUGUCAGUUACCCCCUUCUAAUAAUUCAAAAAUAUUGCAGUGUUUCCCUCUUCAUUAUUCAGUCUCAAGAUAUAAUUGGCUUGUUAAACGUCAACUGUCUUAUAUUUUUAAAAAACAAUUCUGCUCCCUUCCUAAUCUUAUCUUGCUUAGAGCGACUGUUGCUUGUACCUUAGCUUGUUUUUGUUUUACAUAAACAAGUUGCCAAGGAAAGUGUCUUUUUGUUAAUUAAAAUUUUGGGUAAUAGUUGGGGGUGGGUGGUGGUAGUAUUCCCAUGAGUGCUUAAUUUUUUUCUCUGUGUGAAACUGCCCUAAGAGACCCUUAACUAUUUAUAAUGCCUGGGAGUUU